rnacentral:rRNA from 1 species
UACAGAGGGUGCGAGCGUUAAUCGGAAUUACUGGGCGUAAAGCGUGCGUAGACGGUUAUGUAAGUCAGAUGUGAAAGCCCCGGGCUCAACCUGGGAAUUGCAUUUGAGACUGUGUAGCUAGGGUGCGGAAGAGGGAAGCGGAAUUUCCGGUGUAGCGGUGAAAUGCGUAGAUAUCGGAAGGAACACCAGUGGCGAAAGCGGCUUCCUGGUCCAGCACCGACGUUCAGGCACGAAAGCGUGGGGAGCAAACAGG